GACGAACGCUGGCGGCGUGCUUAACACAUGCAAGUCGAACGGAAAGGCCCUGCUUUUGUGGGGUGCUCGAGUGACGAACGGGUAAGUAACACGUGAGUUACCUGCCCUUGACUUUGGGAUAACUUCAGGAAACUGGGGCUAAUACCGGAUAGGAGCUCCUGCUGCAUGGUGGGGGUUGGAAAGUUUCGGCGGUUGGUGUUGGACUCGCGGCUUAUCAGCUUGUUGGUGGGGUAGUGGCUUACCAAGGCUUUGACGGGUAGCCGGACUGAGAGGGUGACCGGACAAAUUGGGACUGAGAUACGGCCCGGACUCCUACGGGAGGGAGCAGUGGGGAAUAUUGCACAAUGGGCGGAAGCCUGAUGCAGCAACGCCGCGUGCGGGAAGACGGCCUUCGGGUUGUAAACCGCUUUCGCCUGUGACGAAGCGUGAGUGACGGUAAUGGGUAAAGAAGCACCGGCUAACUACGUG
rnacentral:rRNA from 1 species